GCCCUGGUAGCUCAAUUGGAUAGAGCAACAGCCUUCUAAGCUGUAGGUUGCAAGUUCGAGCCUUGCCCAGGGCACCA
rnacentral:tRNA from 1 species